UACGAAGGGGGGCUAGCGUUGCUCGGAAUUACUGGGCGUAAAGGGCGCGUAGGCGGACAGUUUAGUCAGAGGUGAAAGCCCAGGGCUCAACCUUGGAAUUGCCUUUGAUACUGGCUGUCUUGAGUACGGGAGAGGUGAGUGGAACUCCGAGUGUAGAGGUGAAAUUCGUAGAUAUUCGGAAGAACACCAGUGGCGAAGGCGACUCACUGGCCCGUUACUGACGCUGAGGCGCGAAAGCGUGGGGGAGCAAACAGG
rnacentral:rRNA from 1 species